UACAGAGGGCCCGAGCGUUAAUCGGAAUCACUGGGCUUAAAGCGUACGCAGGCGGCCCUGAAGGCAUCGUGUGAAACCCCCCGGCUUAACCGGGGAACUGCACGGUGAACCACAGGGCUUGAGGCAGGUAGGGGUCAGUGGAACCAUGAGUGGAGCGGUGAAAUGCGUAGAUAUUCAUGGGAACGCCAAUGGCGAAGGCAGCUGACUGGGCCUGAUCUGACGCUCAUGUACGAAAGCGUGGGGAGCAAACAGG
rnacentral:misc_RNA from 1 species